AACGAACGCUGGCGGCAUGCCUAACACAUGCAAGUCGAACGAGACCUUCGGGUCUAGUGGCGCACGGGUGCGUAACGCGUGGGAACCUGCCCUUAGGUUCGGAAUAACUCCCCGAAAGGGGUGCUAAUACCGGAUAAUGUCUUCGGACCAAAGAUUUAUCGCCUUUGGAUGGGCCCGCGUUGGAUUAGCUAGUUGGUAGUGUAAAAGCCUACCAAGGCGACGAUCCAUAGCUGGUCUGAGAGGAUGAUCAGCCACACUGGGACUGAGACACGGCCCAGACUCCUACGGGAGGCAGCAGUGGGGAAUAUUGGACAAGGGGCGAAAGCCUGAUCCAGCAAUGCCGCGUGAGUGAUGAAGGCCUUAGGGUUGUAAAGCUCUUCUACCCGGGAUGAUAAUGACAGUACCGGGAGAAUAAGCUCCGGCUAACUCCGUG
rnacentral:rRNA from 1 species